AAACUGAAUAAGGCUUGGGACAGAUCAAAUUCUCUGUUCGAAGGUGAAUGAAAAAGGAUUCUGCUUAUCACAGCACUGCUAUCACUAUUUGCGAAUCAUUUUGGCCUUUGACACUCAUGAUUCUGAUAAAAUUAACGAGGAGGAAUGUACAGAAGGACAUCAUUUAAAUUUCUAAAUUUUAUUCAGUUUGAAAUGGAUAACUCGAAACAGAUUAAUUUACUCAAAAUUAUUCUGGAAACAAACCAACACCAAUAAAGAUACUAAUUACAACAUAUGAAAAAAAUAAAAUA